rnacentral:rRNA from 1 species
GAUGAACGCUGGCGGCGUGCCUAAUACAUGCAAGUCGAGCGAACAGACGAGGAGCUUGCUCCUCUGACGUUAGCGGCGGACGGGUGAGUAACACGUGGAUAACCUACCUAUAAGACUGGGAUAACUUCGGGAAACCGGAGCUAAUACCGGAUAAUAUAUUGAACCGCAUGGUUCAAUAGUGAAAGACGGUUUUGCUGUCACUUAUAGAUGGAUCCGCGCCGCAUUAGCUAGUUGGUAAGGUAACGGCUUACCAAGGCAACGAUGCGUAGCCGACCUGAGAGGGUGAUCGCACACACUGAAACAGAGACAGGGACAACUCCUACGGGAGGCAGCAGUAGGGAAUCUUCCGCAAUGGGCGAAAGCCUGACGGAGCAACGCCGCGUGAGUGAUGAAGGUCUUCGGAUCGUAAAACUCUGUUAUUAGGGAAGAACAAAUGUGUAAGUAACUAUGCACGUCUUGACGGUACCUAAUCAGAAAGCCACGGCUAACUACGUG